GACGAACGCUGGCGGCGUGCUUAACACAUGCAAGUCGAGCGGUAAGGCCCUUUCGGGGGUACGACGAGCGGCGAACGGGUGAGUAACACGUGGGUGACCUGCCCUUAGCUCUGGGAUAAGCCUGGGAAACUGGGUCUAAUACCGGAUAUGACUCCAUGACGCAUGUUGUGGGGUGGAAAGCCUUGUGCGGCUAGGGAUGGGCCCGCGGCCUAUCAGCUUGUUGGUGGGGUGAUGGCCUACCAAGGCGACGACGGGUAGCCGGCCUGAGAGGGCGACCGGCCACACUGGGACUGAGACACGGCCCAGACUCCUACGGGAGGCAGCAGUGGGGAAUCUUGCGCAAUGGGCGAAAGCCUGACGCAGCGACGCCGCGUGGGGAU
rnacentral:rRNA from 1 species